rnacentral:rRNA from 1 species
UACGGGGGGGGCAAGCGUUGUUCGGAAUUACUGGGCGUAAAGGGCGUGUAGGCGGCCAACUAAGUCCGACGUGAAAUCCCCAGGCUUAACCUGGGAACUGCGUCGGAUACUGGAUGGCUUGAAUCCGGGAGAGGGAUGCGGAAUUCCAGGUGUAGCGGUGAAAUGCGUAGAUAUCUGGAGGAACACCGGUGGCGAAGGCGGGUCUCUGGGCCGAUACUGACGCUGAGGAGCGAAAGCAUGGGUAGCGAACAGG